CCAUGUGAAGGACUUGUGUCCUCUAAAAAACUAAAAUCAGAGUCAGAGGGAGAAAGAUCCGAUGGUAGUCUCCUCGAUUCCAAACACUGACAAAUCAAAGGAACCAGGGGUUUUCAAUCCAUGGAUGCAGGUUCAAAGGAAAUCUCGGCAUAACCUAAGGGAUAAUCAAAAUCAAAAUACGAAUAAUGUAUGGAAAAUAAAGCCAGGUUUGAAACUUUUGGCGCUUAUGGGGUUAAAUAAAAAUAAAGAGGAAGGGGCUGAAAUUACAAUGGUUGGCUCGAAUAGUGUCAAAG
rnacentral:lncRNA from 1 species